AGCUGGAAAACAGAGAUUCUGUGUACACUGUUCUUUGAAAGUAGAUUCACUAAUUACUUCAUGAUGAGUGAGGCAAAGGCCAGGUUUAAGAGAAUAUGGAGCUGUUCCGUGCAGUUUUCUUUGCUUUAUGGAUGACAGCAGGAAGACACUGACAAAGAUAUAUGUUCGGUGAUAUGCAAUUAUCUUAAGGAAUAAGAAGAUACUGAAAAUGUAUUUCAAGUGCUAUUAAAAAAUAAAAGCUGUAAUAACUAAAAAUGGGUUAUUUUAAAAGAGCUAAGCCAAUUCCCAAUUCCUCUGAAAAUCUACCAGGUGCUCUUUUAGAUGUGCCAACUGUACCUCUCUGCUAUUUUUCAUUUCAGUCUUCCUAUAGAUUUUUGACAAAAUUUGCUAUGUGAUAAAAAGUGAUAACUUCCAUUUUUUUUGUGGUUGAUUGAUAUCAGUGUCAAGAUCCAAGUUUUUGGGCUGCCUGAAUGCUAUGAGAGGGAAAAAUCCAUCUGUUAUCUUUUUUUUAUGAAUUUCAUCAGGUCAGUAUUGUACCUCAUGUACAGCUUUGGAACAUGGGGGUUCUAAGUGAAGAAUCUGUAUUAUUUCCUAUAUGGAAAUAAUAAUGGUCAAAUUAUGGAAGUCUUGGACUCCUUCCCAGGGCUGCAUGAAAUUUAAACAUUCCAGUGCAGAAAUGAAGAUACUAAUCCCAUACCUCUAACAGUAAGGUUCAGCAGAUGCUUUGUGUCCUUG